rnacentral:rRNA from 1 species
AGUCGAGGGGCAGCGGGAUUGAAGCUUGCUUCAAUUGCCGGCGACCGGCGCACGGGUGAGUAACGCGUAUCCAACCUCCCGUACACUCAGGGAUAGCCUUUCGAAAGAAAGAUUAAUACCUGAUGGUAUGAUGAGAUUGCAUGAUAGCAUCAUUAAAGAUUUAUCGGUGUACGAUGGGGAUGCGUUCCAUUAGGUAGUAGGCGGGGUAACGGCCCACCUAGCCUACGAUGGAUAGGGGUUCUGAGAGGAAGGUCCCCCACAUUGGAACUGAGACACGGUCCAAACUCCUACGGGAGGCAGCAGUGAGGAAUAUUGGUCAAUGGACGAGAGUCUGAACCAGCCAAGUAGCGUGAAGGAUGAAGGUCCUACGGAUUGUAAACUUCUUUUAUAAGGGAAUAAACCCUCCCACGUGUGGGAGCUUGUAUGUGCCUUAUGAAUAAGCAUCGGCUAACUCCGUGCCAGCAGCCGCGGUAAUACGGAGGAUGCGAGCGUUAUCCGGAUUUAUUGGGUUUAAAGGGAGCGCAGACGGGUCGUUAAGUCAGCUGUGAAAGUUUGGGGCUCAACCUUAAAAUUGCAGUUGAUACUGGCGUCCUUGAGUGCGGUUGAGGUGUGCGGAAUUCGUGGUGUAGCGGUGAAAUGCUUAGAUAUCACGAAGAACUCCGAUUGCGAAGGCAGCACACUAAUCCGUAACUG